rnacentral:tRNA from 1 species
ACCCCGAAAAUGACGGUUCAACCCCCUCCUUUACUA